rnacentral:snRNA from 1 species
GUGCUCACUUCAGCAGCACAUAUACUGAAAUUGGGAUGGUACGGAGAAGAUUAGCAUGGCCCCUGUGCAAGGAUGACAUGCAAAUUCAUGAAGUGUUCCAUUGAAAA